rnacentral:rRNA from 1 species
CGACCUACGGGACGCAGCAGUGAGGAAUAUUGUUCAAUGGGCGGAAGCCUGAACCAGCCAAGUCGCGUGAGGGAAUAAGGCCCUACGGGUCGUAAACCUCUUUUGCCGGGGAGCAAGGGCGGGGACGUGUCCCGGCCCGGAGAGUACCCGGAGAAAAAGCAUCGGCUAACUCCGUGCCAGCAGCCGCGGUAAUACGGAGGAUGCGAGCGUUAUCCGGAUUUAUUGGGUUUAAAGUGUGCGUAGGCGGGCUUUUAAGUCAGCGGUAAAAAUUCGGGGUUCAACCCCGUCCGGUCGUUACAACUGGG